rnacentral:rRNA from 1 species
UGGGGAAUAUUGGACAAUGGGCGAAAGCCUGAUCCAGCCAUGCCGCGUGUGUGAAGAAGGUCUUCGGAUUGUAAAGCACUUUAAGUUGGGAGGAAGGGCAGUAAGCGAAUACCUUGCUGUUUUGACGUUACCGACAGAAUAAGCACCGGCUAACUCUGUGCCAGCAGCCGCGGUAAUACAGAGGGUGCAAGCGUUAAUCGGAAUUACUGGGCGUAAAGCGCGCGUAGGUGGUUUGUUAAGUUGAAUGUGAAAGCCCCGGGCUCAACCUGGGAACUGCAUCCAAAACUGGCGGGCUAGAGUAGGGCAGAGGGUGGUGGAAUUUCCUGUGUAGCGGUGAAAUGCGUAGAUAUAGGAAGGAGCACCAGUGGCGAAGGCGACCACCUGGGCUCAUACUGACACUGAGGUGCGAAAGCGUGGGGAGCAAACAGG